GGACUACCAGGGUAUCUAAUCCCGUUCGCUCCCCUGGCUUUCGCGCAUCAGCGUCAGUGUCGGCCCAGCAACCCGCCUUCGCCGCAGGUGUUCCUCUCGAUAUCUACGCAUUUCACCGCUACACCGAGAAUUCCAGUUGCCCCUUCCGCACUCUAGCCGCGCAGUAUCAGUUGACCUUUCCGAGUUAAGCCCGGAGAUUUCACAACUGACUUGCGCUGGCCGCCUACGCGCCCUUUACGCCCAGUAAAUCCGAACAACGCUUGCUCCCCCCGUAUUACCGCGGCUGCUGGCAC
rnacentral:rRNA from 1 species